rnacentral:rRNA from 1 species
GAUGAACGCUGGCGGCGUGCCUAACACAUGCAAGUCGAGCGGACAGACGAGGCUUUUGCUUGGUUGACGUGAGGGGCGGGUGGGUGAGUCACAUGAAUGUACCUCACCUAUAAGACUGGGAUCACUACGGGAAAGCGGAUAUAACACCGGAUAAGAUUCCGAACCGCAGGGUUCGUUGGAGAAAGUGGGCUUUGCUGUCACUACUAGAGGGUCCUGGGCUGGUUUAGCUAGUUGGUAGGGUAACGGCUUACCAAGGCUACGAUGCGUAGCCGACCUGAGAGGAUGGUCGGCCACACUGGAACUGAGACACGGUCCAGACUCCUACGGGAGGCAGCAGUAGGGAAUCUUCGGCAAUGGGCGAAAGCCUGACGCAGCGACGCCGCGUGUGUGAUGAAGGUCUUCGGAUCGUAAAGCUCUGUUAUUAGGGAGGAACAGCCGUGUAAGUAGAUGUAGAGGUCUUGACGGUACCUAGUCAAGAAGCACCGGCUAACUACGUG